rnacentral:lncRNA from 1 species
AUUUGAGGAUGAUACACUUGAGUCUUUCUGCAGAAGAAUUCCUGGAAGGAAUUUUCUGCUUGUCAUUGGAAUCUAUUUUGCUAUAGUAUGAUCUUCUGACCUCCUUGUUUUGCUCUAGUUAAAGAAGAUAGAGAAGCUACAGAAGGCUUUGGAAAUCCAGCUUUUAACAUGAGCAACCCAGACCUCUCAGCACAUCAGACUUCAGAAGAGAAAAUUAUUAGACAUGACACGCUGGAUCGCACCCUUGCAGCUCACCAACAAAAAUCCAGGCUGCCAGUCUGCGCGGUGCCAAAAGGAAAUGAAUAUGGCAGAAAUUACUUUGACCCACUGAUGGAUGAGGAAAUAAACCCAAGGCAGUGUGGGAUGGAGGUCAGCAGAGAGGGUGAUGAUAAAGUUUUCUGUAAUCAAUUAAUGAAGUUGUCUGAUGAGAAUGAACAAGAAGAAUCUCAAGGUGGGAGCACCAAGGAGGACAUUUUGGAUUCUGAAGCACUCACAAGUUCCUGUAAGAUUCAAGAGACCCACAAAGAGGCAGAUGAAGCCACCUCUGAUUCCAUCCAGGAGUUUGAAAGACAUGCUCAGAAAGACAUAAUUCUGCUUGGAAGUUCUCCGUUUGAACAGCAUGGCCUGUGAGGAAGGCACUUGCAGCUGAUUCAUCAGAAACUUCUGGACAUCUUGGUGCAUCUACGUCUUGGAGGAAGGACACUCAGGAAUGCUUGUUAGUUUUUACAAAAGGCAUGCAGAGACCAUUACAAAUUUAUACCGUGCUAUGAAUUAAAAAAUAAGCACAUAGCCAAC